CAGGUAAUGCUGGGGACGUCUAAGGAUACUGCCCCGGUUAACGGGGAGGGAAGGUGGGGAUGACGUCAAGUCAGUAUGUCCCUUACGUCCAGGGCUACACACGUGUUACAAUGGCCGGUACAAUGAGUUGCGACCCUGCAAAGGUAAGCCAAUCUCAAAAAACCGGUCUCAGUUCGGAUUGCAGUCUGCAACUCGACUGCAUGAAGUUGGAAUCGCUAGUAAUCGUAGAUCAGCACGCUACGGUGAAUACGUUCCCGGGCCUU
rnacentral:rRNA from 1 species